GAAAAUGGCGCUGCGGUGUCGGCUCCAAAACCCUAAUGCCAACGAGGUGGUUCGUCUUAGUAUGGAGGGAACAGCUUAUCGGGGGUCGCAUUGCUGUAAAUGUAAGAGGUAAGCUUGGAUUGUUCGAGUUCUAAAUACUACAAUUUUACUAUCAGAUGCCUAUGAUUUAUUCUUCAACACUCCCUUCACUAAAGAAUUGAUAGGAGUAGAGAUGAGACUAAUAAGAAUCUGCAAAAGCCUUGUCUCACUCUCUCUAGAAAACCCUCUGCCGCAUCUCCACGAAACCCCAACUCUCUCCUGCUUAAUCUCUGUGUUAUAUUUCUCCUCCUCUAAACCCAAGAAGUCAACAUCCACUGUAACAGUCCUGGACUACUUGAUCAAUCAGCACCAAUUCUCGCCUGAAGCUGCUCUGAAAGCUUCAUCAACCUUUACUUACCUGAGAAAUCCAGAAAAGGCGGAUUCCGUUCUUUCGUUCUUCAAGGAAAGCGGUUUCUCCCAGACCCAUAUCGAGCAAGUGGUUAAGAUAAUACCCAAGGUUCUCUCUGCCAAACUUGCCGUCACCAUCAAACCCAAAAUCAAAAUUUUCCAGGACUUGGGCUUUGCACCCGACGACAUUGCCAAGAUUGUAUCCGGUGACCCGUGGAUUCUUACUCGGAGUCCCGUUAAUGAGAUUGGACCCUCAAUUUUGCUGUUGAAGAGUAUUCUGGAUUCCAAUGAAAACAUCGUUAGGGUCUUAAAGUCUUCAGGGUGGUUUUUGAAUCAUGAUUUGAAUAAGACUAUGAUGCCCAAUAUUGAAUUUCUGAAGCGUUGUGGAAUUAGUUCUUCGCAGAUCGUUACAUAUUUGUUUAAUUUCCCGAGGUUUUUUCUGAAUAAGCCGGAGAGCAUUCAGGCUUUCGUUAAAAAGGUUGAUGGAAUGGGGUUUGAUAGAAAGUCUAAGAUGUUUCUUUGUGCCAUUCGGACAGUGAGUUCAAUGUCAGAAAGGAAUUGGGAACUCAAGUUGGAACUUUUCCGAAGUUUGGGGUUUUCGGAAAAAGAUAUUCUUGAUGUGUUUAGGAGGUUGCCUCAGGUUUUUGCUAUAUCCGAGAGGAAAAUUAAGGAGGUAACUGGACUCCUGUUUAGUGCUCGGAAGGUAGAUAUCUCGUAUUUUGUUGACCAUCCAGAAUUGCUUAUUUGCAGCGUUGAGCAUAGGUUAAAACCCCGUCUACGAGUUUUGGAGAUUCUGGAAAAGAAAAAUGUGCUUAAGAGGAAACCUCGUUUAACUACUGUCUGCCGAAUGCCCAAGGAGAAGUUCUUAAAGAAAUUUGUACUUCCUUAUUCAAAAGAACUCGCAGAGGUAAAUGAGGCUGGUGGGGGUCAUAUACAAUUGGAUGCAUACAAUGAUGAGCAUCUUCAAGAGGGCGCUAUUCAAAUCAAUGGAUAUGAAAGCCUCUUCAUCCUCAUGUGCAAGAUAACUUCAUUUGUAUGUCAACAAAUGCUUCCUUGAUGCUAAGCAAGCAAUACGCAGUGUAUUGAACACCUUGGACUUCCUCCUUGGUGGUCCGUUUCUUAUGGGAAAAAUAGAAGGUGACAUUUGAGUGGGGUGGGUCUCAAGACUCUCAAACCCUCGUGGGGUCCUACUCCUACCACACCUGUUUGGGGGGCAAACUAGGUCUCAUCAACUACCUUCUUUAUUCAGACACAGAUAAAAAUUGCGAGGGAUUGAAUCCAUUUUGAUGAAUUGCAGUGGGGAAGUCUUCAUUUCAAACAAAAGGAUACGCAUUUACAACUGUUAAGACUCUAGUUUUCACCAAAGGAAACGAACAUAUAUAAGAGGGAUCA